UCUCCUCCAUGUAUGGUGUGUCCUCUAGGUCUACUCCAUGUAUGGUGUGUCCUCUAGGUCUACUCCAUGUAUGGUGUGUCCUCUAGGUCUACUCCAUGUAUGGUGUGUCC